GCAAGAAUUGCACGUAGGUUCAUGCUUUCACAGGUAUAGCCUCUCUCCAAUAGGUCUACAACUUGAUCCUACAACUCUUUAAAUUCUUUGCGAUUGAAGCGAUACACAUGUCGAUUUGGCAAACUCGACAUCGGAAUAAAGUGAAUCUGAUGCUAAAUAUCCUUUAUUGGUGAUAGUCCAGGAAGAAGAUCUUCUAGCAUCAGAUCAGAUAACUUUGUUAGCAGCUAUUGCACCUCUAAUGGCAAGUUUGGGCCUAUGUUUGCUACACUAUUUUCACAAGGACGGCAAUGGACAACCGCCGGGAAGGAAAAGGGGGGGAGAAGGUCGGAUGAAUUAAAGGUAAUGACGAAGAGACUGGGGAGCAGGGCAUUACUGUAGAGGGAGAGACAGACGUUUAGUGUCUUCCAUGUUGGUUCAACCUUACAUGAAUGAUGAGUUAUGUUAAUGGAUGUUAUUUUUAUGUUGGGAUGGGUCCAUUUUUGUUGGGUUUGACUUCAAACCAUGUAUCUGUUGGUAUGGUGGGGUAAUGGUAAACCCUUAUACAUUGACUUAGUGGCUUAUUGCACAUAUGGUAAAGAUGGAGUCCCUUCCUAACUAGAAUAAUUAUGUUUUUAUGAACGUAUAA